rfam:Gossypium raimondii chromosome 11, whole genome shotgun sequence.
AACCCAUGAUGAGGGCAGCUUCUCAAAAGAUCUUUAAAUCUCUCCCAUGUAUUAUAUAAUCUCUUCAAUUCAAUUUGAGCAAAAGAAGAGAUAUCAUUCCUUAACUU